rnacentral:lncRNA from 1 species
UCAAAUUUCGCAAUUUUCAAGGAAUCCAACACUUUCACAAAGAUUUUUAUUUGCGAUCGUUUCGUUGGAAAGAAGACACAAAUAUGUUAUCUAAAUUGUGAAGUAAGAAAGAUUUAAUUGAAAUGGCAAGUGCUUCAUCAGAAAGUGUUCCUGUUGAUGAAAUCAACGAACUACUCACAUGUUGCAUGUGUUUGGAAACUCUGCAGGAACCACGAAGCUUAGCUUGCUUUCAUAAUUUUUGUAAAGUCUGUUUAGGUGAGUAC